rnacentral:rRNA from 1 species
GACGAACGCUGGCGGCGUGCUUAACACAUGCAAGUCGAACGGUAAGGCCCUUCGGGGUACACGAGUGGCGAACGGGUGAGUAACACGUGGGUGAUCUGCCCUGCACUUCGGGAUAAGCCUGGGAAACUGGGUCUAAUACCGGAUAGGACCACUGCCUGCAUGGGCGGUGGUGGAAAGCUUUUGGGGUGUGAGAUGGGCCCGCGGCCUAUCAGCUUGUUGGUGGGGUGAUGGCCUACCAAGGCGACGACGGGUAGCCGGCCUGAGAGGGUGACCGGCCACACUGGGACUGAGAUACGGCCCGGACUCCUACGGGAGGCAGCAGUGGGGAAUAUUGCACAAUGGGCGCAAGCCUGAUGCAGCGACGCCGCGUGAGGGAUGACGGCCUUCGGGUUGUAAACCUCUUUCAGCACCGACGAAGCGCAAGUGACGGUAGGUGCAGAAGAAGGACCGGCCAACUACGUGCCAGCCGCCGCAGUAA